rnacentral:sRNA from 3 species
UUGCUAUCUGCGAUAUGGAAGAUUCGAACCUGCCGCAGGUUCGGGUCUCACGUAGUGAGACAACGGAGCCGCUUGCGGCGACGGCCCGAAGGGCGAGCAAAGCGAGUCAUCCUGCACGACUCAUCA